rnacentral:rRNA from 1 species
UGGCUCAGGAUGAACGCUAGCGGCAGGCUUAACACAUGCAAGUCGAGGGGCAGCAGAUCGAAAGCUUGCUUUGAUGCUGGCGACCGGCGCACGGGUGAGUAACGCGUAUCCAACCUUCCCUAUAGUAGAGAAUAGCCCGGCGAAAGUCGGAUUAAUGCUCUAUGUUGUAUUUAGAAGACAUCUGAAGAAUACCAAAGGUUUACCGCUAUAGGAUGGGGAUGCGUCUGAUUAGGUUGUUGGCGGGGUAACGGCCCACCAAGCCUACGAUCAGUAGGGGUUCUGAGAGGAAGGUCCCCCACAUUGGAACUGAGACACGGUCCAAACUCCUACGGGAGGCAGCAGUGAGGAAUAUUGGUCAAUGGACGAAAGUCUGAACCAGCCAAGUAGCGUGCAGGAUGACGGCCCUAUGGGUUGUAAACUGCUUUUAUACAGGGAUAAAGUGAGGGACGUGUCCCUUUUGUAGGUACUGUAUGAAUAAGGACCGGCUAAUUCCGUGCCAGCCGCUGC